ensembl:miRNA gmo-mir-138-1 gmo-mir-138-1
AGCUGGUGUUGUGAAUCAGGCCGACGACCGACACUUUGAUUACCGGCUACUUCACAACACCAGGGU